rnacentral:lncRNA from 12 species
CUGUAUAAUAGGGUGUGAUAUGACCACUAACUGAUCUCCUAGCUCUACAAAUGAGCACAUAAUUAAUGUUAUAUCAUUUGAGAAGUUUUUACCCAAAUUAGGAAAAAGUGAUGACUGAGGAAAAAUAAAUAUGUGAACAGUUAGUAUCUAACCAAAGGAUUAGUAGUAGUAUGUAUCAUGAAAGACUGAAGUUCAGAAGAAACUGAGGAUGAAAACAUGGGUUAGUUCCAACUUGAGCAAGGAAAAAUACUGAGAAAUAAUCCCAUUGAUUAUGGGCAGAUGGUAUAAAGUUAGCAAAAGAGAGAAAGGAAAUAGGAAUCCCCUAUUUUAUUUCUGUCCUCCCUGUCAAAAAGAAUGAUCUUCAGCCUGCAAAGAGUGGAAAAUAUAUUGGGUACGGGGAAAUUGAAACUGAAAGAUAAGUGAACAGAUUGUAAGAGAGUAUCCAGCUUCUCAAAAUGAAUCCACUUUUCUGGACCCAGAUGAACUGUUCCAAGGUACUGAGAGAACUUGUCGGAGAGAGCCCUUGGCUACCAUCAAUAAUCAUUAAGGAGAUAGUAGAGAAGAAUAAAUGUUAUCCUGGUUUUAAAAAGUUUCAGAAUGUGCCUUCAACAAACCACAGCAAAAGUAGAAGAAAAUACGCCAGAUGAUAUCAUGAACCUGGAGCAGGAUACAAGAGCCACACUGAAAGGAGUGGGACAGACUAUCCAAACAAUGAAGAGAGAACAGCAAAAAUGAAACUCAAUGCUUCACCAACAAUUCCUUAAAAACAAACUAAAAAACUUUAUUGGGAAAGCUGAGUUACAACUAAAAGUGUACAAAGGGAUUUAAAAUAAAUUGGAGUUUGAAAAAAAUUAUAAUCUAUUU